rnacentral:rRNA from 1 species
GACGAACGCUGGCGGCGUGCCUAAUACAUGCAAGUCGAACGCAGUGGGGACGGGUGAGUAACACGUGGGUAACCUCCCAUCAGAGGGGAUAACACUUGGAAACAGGUGCUAAACCGAUACUGAUGGAUGGACUCGCGGUGCAUUAGCGAGUUGGUGAGGUAACGGCGCACCAAGGCAACGAUGCAUAGCCGACCUGAGAGGUGUAUCUGCCACACUGGGACUGAGACACGGCCCAGACUCCUACGGGAGGCAGCAGUGGGGAAUCUUCGGCAAUGGAGGAAAGUCUGACCGAGCAACGCCGCGUGAGUGAAGAAGGUUUUCGUGUCGUAAAACUCUGUUGUUAGAGAAGCGGUAUCUAACCAGAAAGCCACGGCUAACUACGUGCCAGCAGCCGCGGUAAUAC